AGACAAUAUGACCAGUCAGAGACAGGGCAGAGACAAUAUGACCAGUCAGAGACAAUAUGACCAGUCAGAGACAAUAUGACCAGGCAGAGACAAUAUGACCAGUCAGAGACAGGGCAGAGACAAUAUGACCAGUCAGAGACAAUAUGACCAGUCAGAGACAGGGCAGAGACAAUAUGACCAGUCAGAGACAGGGCA